AUUGCCCUAGUAACGGCGAGUGAAGCGGCAACAGCUCAAAUUUGAAAUCUGGCUCUCUUGUGGGGUCCGAGUUGUAAUUUGUAGAGGGCGCUUUGGCACUGAUGGCGGUCUAAGUUCCUUGGAACAGGACAUCACAGAGGGUGAGAAUCCCGUACGUGGUCGCUAAUCUUUUGCUGUGUAAAGCCCCUUCAACGAGUCGAGUUGUUUGGGAAUGCAGCUCUAAAUGGGAGGUAAAUUUCUUCUAAAGCUAAAUAUUGGCCAGAGACCGAUAGCGCACAAGUAGAGUGAUCGAAAGAUGAAAAGCACUUUGGAAAGAGAGUCAAAAAGCACGUGAAAUUGUUGAAAGGGAAGCGCUUGCCGCCAGACUUGCCUGUAGUUGCUCACCUAGGCGUUAAGCCUGGGGCACUCUUCUGCAGGCAGGCCAGCAUCAGUUUGGGCAGCCGGAUAAAGGUCUCUGACACGUUCCAUCCUUCGUAGAUGGCCAUAUAGGGGAGACGUCAUGCGGUUAGCCUGGACUGAGGUCCGCGCAUUGCUAGGAUGCUGGCGUAAUGGCUGCAAGCGGCCCGUCUUGAAACACGGACCAAGGAGUCUAACAUCUAUGCGAGUGUUUGGGUGUCAAGCCCGAGCGCGCAAUAAACGUGAACGGAGGUGGGAACCCUCUUUGCGGGGGGUGCACUAUCGACCGAUCCUGAUGUCUUCGGAUGGAUUUGAGUAAGAGCAUAGCUGUUGGGACCCGAAAGAUGGUGAACUAUGCUUGAAUAGGGUGAAGCCAGAGGAAACUCUGGUGGAGGCUCGCAGCGGUUCUGACGUGCAAAUCGAUCGUCAAAUUUGGGCAUAGGGGCGAAAGACUAAUCGAAC
rnacentral:rRNA from 1 species